CCAGCGGUACCUGCCCGGCUGGACCUGCUUGAAGUGCAGGAUGUUGUAGCGCGCCGGGCCGUCCCCGCUGUCCGAGAAGCGGAAGUGGUCGGCGCUCAGGCCUGCGCGCCGGAGUCAAGCGCCGUUCGUGUGCCCACAACUGCUUUUCCUGUGGCCUUUCGCACGUAAUACUUCACUACGAGAGACCGGCCCGAGCCGGCGCAACUCUAACCUGCUACCCUGCACAUGGGGUCAUCAAGCUCAUAAGCGACGGCCGACAAGCGCACCUCGGAAUGUGACGUUCUUCAGGUCACUCCGUGAUCAGAUUGACCGUUAAAACAUAAAUAUUUAAAAGAUGGCGCCACUAUGACAAAGGCGAUGCGACGAUGAUGGCGAAAGCGGUGGCCCGAUGACAACGCUGACACGACAGUGAUGGCCGUGACAUGACAAAGCAACAACGACGACGGCACGAAAAUGACACCUAGAUGACUGAUAUAUAAAUUUGCAAAGACCUUGUGAUCGGGAAAC